ACAGCAGUCGCCACGGGAAUACAGAGGGUGCGAGCGUUAAUCGGAUUUACUGGGCGUAAAGCGUGCGUAGGCGGCUUUUUAAGUCGGAUGUUAAAUCCCUGAGCUUAACUUAGGAAUUGCAUUCGAUACUGGGAAGCUAGAGUAUGGGAGAGGAUGGUAGAAUUCCAGGUGUAGCGGUGAAAUGCGUAGAGAUCUGGAGGAAUACCGAUGGCGAAGGCAGCCAUCUGGCCUAAUACUGACGCUGAGGUACGAAAGCAUGGGGAGCAAACAGGAUUAGAGACCCCCGUAGUCCCUGUCUCUUAUAC
rnacentral:rRNA from 1 species